AUUAUUAUAGUUUAAGGAAAACAUUUCAUUUUCACUGAAAAAUUAUUUUAUUAAAAAUUUAUAAUA
rnacentral:tRNA from 1 species